rnacentral:rRNA from 1 species
AGAGUUUGAUCAUGGCUCAGAUUGAACGCUGGCGGCAGGCCUAACACAUGCAAGUCGAACGGUAACAGGAAACAGCUUGCUGUUUCGCUGACGAGUGGCGGACGGGUGAGUAAUGUCUGGGAAACUGCCUGAUGGAGGGGGAUAACUACUGGAAACGGUAGCUAAUACCGCAUAACGUCGCAAGACCAAAGAGGGGGACCUUCGGGCCUCUUGCCAUCAGAUGUGCCCAGAUGGGAUUAGCUAGUAGGUGGGGUAACGGCUCACCUAGGCGACGAUCCCUAGCUGGUCUGAGAGGAUGACCAGCCACACUGGAACUGAGACACGGUCCUGACUCCUACGGGAGGCAGCAGUGGGGAAUAUUGCACAAUGGGCGCAAGCCUGAUGCAGCCAUGCCGCGUGUAUGAAGAAGGCCUUCGGGUUGUAAAGUACUUUCAGCGGGGAGGAAGGGAGUAAAGUUAAUACCUUUGCUCAUUGACGUUACCCGCAGAAGAAGCACCGGCUAACUCCGUGCCAGCAGUCGCGGUAAUACGGAGGGUGCAAGCGUUAAUCGGAAUUACUGGGCGUAAAGCGCACGCAGGCGGUUUGUUAAGUCAGAUGUGAAAUCCCCGGGCUCAACCUGGGAACUGCAUCUGAUACUGGCAAGCUUGAGUCUCGUAGAGGGGGGUAGAAUUCCAGGUGUAGCGGUGAAAUGCGUAGAGAUCUGGAGGAAUACCGGUGGCGAAGGCGGCCCCCUGGACGAAGACUGACGCUCAGUUGCGAAAGCGUGGGGAGCAAACAGGAUUAGAUACCCUGGUAGUCCACGCCGUAAACGAUGUCGACUUGGAGGUUGUGCCCUUGAGGCGUGGCUUCCGGAGCUAACGCGUUGAGUCGACCGCCUGGGGAGUACGGCCGCAAGGUUAAAACUCAAAUGAAUUGACGGGGGCCCGCACAAGCGGUGGAGCAUGUGGUUUAAUUCGAUGCAACGCGAAGAACCUUACCUGGUCUUGACAUCCACGGAAGUUUUCAGAGAUGAGAAUGUGCCUUCGGGAACCGUGAGACAGGUGCUGCAUGGCUGUCGUCAGCUCGUGUUGUGAAAUGUUGGGUUAAGUCCCGCAACGAGCGCAACCCUUAUCCUUUGUUGCCAGCGGUCCGGCCGGGAACUCAAAGGAGACUGCCAGUGAUAAACUGGAGGAAGGUGGGGAUGACGUCAAGUCAUCAUGGCCCUUACGACCAGGGCUACACACGUGCUACAAUGGCGCAUACAAAGAGAAGCGACCUCGCGAGAGCAAGCGGACCUCAUAAAGUGCGUCGUAGUCCGGAUUGGAGUCUGCAACUCGACUCCAUGAAGUCGGAAUCGCUAGUAAUCGUGGAUCAGAAUGCCACGGUGAAUACGUUCCCGGGCCUUGUACACACCGCCCGUCACACCAUGGGAGUGGGUUGCAAAAGAAGUAGGUAGCUUAACCUUCGGGAGGGCGCUUACCACUUUGUGAUUCAUGACUGGGGUGAAGUCGUAACAAGGUAACCGUAGGGGAACCUGCGGUUG